rnacentral:rRNA from 1 species
GCCCUGCCGUAAACUUAGAUACUUCACCACAACAAGCAUCCGCCCGGGUACUACGAGCGCCAGCUUAAAACCCAAAGGACUUGGCGGUGCUUCAGACCCCCCUAGAGGAGCCUGUUCUAGAACCGAUAACCCCCGUUCAACCUCACUACUUCUCGCUUUUCCCGCCUAUAUACCACCGUCGCCAGCUUACCCUGUGAAGGUAUCAAAGUAAGCAGGAUGGGCAAUGCCCAAAACGUCAGGUCGAGGUGUAGCGUACGGAGUAGGAAGAAAUGGGCUACAUUAUCUGAAACAGAUUAACUAACGAAAGGUCACCUGAAACCGGUGACCUGAAGGUGGAUUUAGCAGUAAGGAGAGAAUAGAGCGCCCUCCUGAAGCCGGCUCUGAAGCGCGCACACACCGCCCGUCACUCUCCCCAACAACACCCACACUUGGUAACUAACAUAACAAAAGCCACAAGGGGAGGCAAGUCGUAACAUGGUAAGUGUACCGGAAGGUGCACUUGGAAUAAC